rnacentral:rRNA from 1 species
CCUACGGGCGGCAGCAGUAGGGAAUCUUCCACAAUGGGCGAAAGCCUGAUGGAGCAACGCCGCGUGGGUGAAGAAGGUCUUCGGAUCGUAAAACCCUGUUGUUAGAGAAGAAAGUGCGUGAGAGUAACUGUUCACGUUUCGACGGUAUCUAACCAGAAAGCCACGGCUAACUACGUGCCAGCAGCCGCGGUAAUACGUAGGUGGCAAGCGUUAUCCGGAUUGAUUGGGGGUAAAGGGAACGCAGGCGGUCUUUUAAGUCUGAUGUGAAAGCCUUCGGCUUAACCGGAGUAGUGCAUUGGAAACUGGGAGACUUGAGUGCAGAAGAGGAGAGUGGAACUCCAUGUGUAGCGGUGAAAUGCGUAGAUAUAUGGAAGAACACCAGGGGCGAAAGCGGCUCUCUGGUCUGUAACUGACGCUGAGGUUCGAAAGCGUGGGUAGCAAACAGGAUUAGAUACCCGAGUAGUC